UAAUAAGUGUUUUUAUGGCACUUUUUAAAUCCAUAUCCACCUUGUGUGCAAUGUCAGUCGAUCUUCUUCAUGGAGAUCGACCAAACAUCAACCUUUAUUUUUUAACUCUUUGUCUGAAAAAUAUUAUGAGUAAACAAUUCAAAAUA
rnacentral:misc_RNA from 1 species